UCCACUGCCCUAACCUUCUACCCUUCCAGGUGUGGGUCGAUGGGUGACGGGACUCUACAGUCUAUGUGACUCUAUACUCUACAGUGCAUCUGUACUUCCUGAAGCGAGUGGUUGGCCUCAUUACGUUCUUCAGUCGGUAUGGAGUGAUAACUAACCCUUGAGCGGUAGUGAGACGCGGGCUUGUGCGUCAGCGCUCUUACGAUAACAAGAGCCUUGAGGAUGCGACUAUGAGUCGCGAAACGUCGGCAAAAUAAAUGUACCAGAUGCCUUUCCCUAUGAUUCCCCUGAUAUAAAAGGGGGGGAUUGGGAGCAGCGAAAGGGGGAGUUUUUGGUGAUGACUGUCAGACUGACAGUUCUGCUUUUUUCAUGCAAAUGUUCACUCUUCGAAUAGAUGGGGUGAACUGACAGAUUGAGAGGUGCUGCUUUGAUCAAAAUAUAUAGGCACUGUAGCCCUACUAAAACAAUAGCAGAAUGUCUGCAGAUGUCUGUUCAGUCCAUGUAAAUAACAAGGGAUAGUUACAAGAUAAUCAACAUGGUGGCUGUGCAGAAGCUCAUUGCCACAAGCAAACAAAAACAAAGACCCAACAUCAUGACAUUGAAGCGUCCAAACAGCUUUUGAAGUCUGUCACAAGUUUAUAUUCAAGAUAAAUUGGAUUCUUACUGCCUUUCCACUUACCACGCAUUUCAACAAAAAUGACAGAGAUGGAAGGAGGUUAAAUGUGUACAACUUUAGAAAGGAACAGUAAAUAUUACACUUGAGCAGCAGCUCAAAUAAAUUUUUGAAGACACAAAAUAGUUGGGCUAAUAUAGUAGCAAGUCAACUAAGUGACGUCAUUUAAUCUACCUGCUGUUGAUUCACACUACCAUAUGCACACGUCAUCAUUCCUCCAGUGCAGUGAUAACUAAGAAUCCAACCAAGACAUGGGCAACAUCUGAGCUGUACUCCUGAAUCUCAAAGCUCCAGUGCGCUUUGAGAUUCAGGAGUAUAGCUCAGAUGUUGCCCAUGUCUUGGUUGGAUUCUUAGUAUCAAAGAGACAGUUCGUCUCAAGUGCCACAGCAUAGUCUGGAGACUUGCUGCUUGUGCUACACACACAAUGCUGUAACAGUAGUUAAAUUUGAAGCCAGACUUGGGAAAAGAAAUCAAAAUUGUGAAGAAAAGCCCAACCAAGAGCAGUAAUGAACAGGUUGAGGAGUUAAGAAAGAUCAGAAAUUAAACUCUUACUUUAAUUUGUCCUGUCUUGUAACAGAAGGCAGUAAUUAAAUUUGUCCUGUCUUGUAACAGAAGGCACCAUUUCCAAGCAAUCUUUAUCCAUAGCUCUAAGCAUUCAGGAGCACAUUAGUGGAGUUAAAAAGCAGACAACACUGGCUGGGUGCAAAACUAAACCUCAAGCAUGGUAGACUUGAGUUUUGCAUCACAACCACACACACAAUGAAGUGCUGUACUUCAGCAAGUCAGUGGCCUGAAUUGUCUAACAACCAAUUAGAUUGCUAUAUGAAACUUGCUUUACUUUACUUGGGCUGACAAUUAUGGCUUGAACACUGCGAGCUCCAAGGGGAUGAGGGCUAAGAGUGCAUCAGUCACAGCUUCUAAAUGCAAAAGUUCACAAGAAAUGUUGAUGUAAUGCAGCUCACACUCCAUAACCAAAGAUCACGAAUCAUCAUGCCUGCAAUACAGUUAGAACAACAUACAAAACCUUCCAAGAUGAAUCCAACUAUGCUCUCACCAGAACCUCUCAUCUCUUGAGGAUUUUCAACUAAAAUCUGCUCAAAUUAUGUUCAGUCAGUAGCAAGAUGCAAAAUGGCUGUCAAUAGUCCACAAAGGUCACAUGCCACUUGAAAGGACAGGUUUCAAUGCUCAGCAAGACUGGCUGAUGGUUACAUCUGUUCAGAAGCCAGACACUGCUCAUCCUGACACUGUUCUGACAAUAUGCUUGUGUACCUUGGAAUGGACUCGCAAAGCUUUAGGGAUACAGUAUAUUCACCUUAAAGUUGACAUCACACUAUAUAUGACUGCAUCUGGCAUGGAAAUUCUCAUGGUAGCAGCAGCUGAUGGUGUCUAGCAUCUUAAAUGGAAGAGCAUGGACCAAUGCUCUACAGACAUAACAUUUUAUCACUGCCACAUUGCUGGAGAGAUUCUACUCAAACAAACCAAGACAUAAGGAACUGAUCGAAUAUCUGAAAAGAGCUAAACAACACACAAUUGGGAAGCUAUGGGUAGACUGUCUCAUUAAACUUACUUGAUUGGCCCUCUAUUCUUGUGCACAGAACAGCUUAUUAACUUCCUCCUACAGUAGUACUGCCUCAGAAACAUUUUUUUUUUUCCACCACCAAAAGGUGCGGGAAUCCAGUCAAUAACCCCCCCCACAGAAAGCAAUUGCCUAGAACCCACCCCCUCUUUGCCCAGGUACAACUUUUCACAUUUUUUGGCAAUGGCGACAUUGAUGGGACUCGGUCAUGUUGAUAUGUCGAAGUUACCCAAGAGAAACAAUUCAUCCAAGUGAGGAUAAUCUUUUCUUGGAGACUCAAAUGAUCUUUGAGCACACCCUAGAAAUACCUCCAAACACCAGAUAAAUUUUGACGAAGUCAAGAACACGUCAAGAGCACUUUGCAACAGGAUCUAUGUCAUAGGGAGCUGCUUACCUUCAAAUAGUUGGAAGGAAUGUCUUUUUCAGACUUUUACAUACGACUCAAGAACAGUGCAGAAGAAACAGACAUCUGUCAAACAGUAGAUCUUCAGUUUGUGAGCAAACCCAGAUCUAGAUGAUCAUCCUCAUGGGAGACAGGGAUGAAGAACUGACUAGGAACUCAUAGACUCGACACCAACACCCCUACAAGAUUAUCAACACUUGAAACCACCAGAGAGACCACUUCUGCAAUUCAUACUUCACUCGCAGUUGUGUGCCCUAUCGUACUACAGGAAGCAGAAAAAACAUGGAAAAGGUGCCAUCCCUACUGUACCAUCACACUGUUUCUCAUGCCAGUUGUGCAACCGCAUGCACAGAUCUACAGAUACGUGUCUAGCAGUAGACAGCAACUGUGCUCACAAGGGGCUUUAUGCAAAGGCCCACCAGACAGGUCCAAUGCCACCACUGCAACUUACAGGGGCAAUAUAGCAAGAGCUACCAGGAGAAAGAAGCAGUGCCACUUCUAGUGCCAAGCCUACAACACCCUCUCUGGGGAAGCCCUCUCCUAUCAAGACACUACAGCCAAUCUCCAUUUCCCUGUCAUAUGGUGAC